GGGCUCUUAGCUCAGUUGGUAGAGCAGCGGACUCUUAAUCCGUAGGUCGAGUGUUCGAGUCACUCAGGGCCCA
rfam:Variovorax sp. PAMC 28711, complete genome.